rnacentral:lncRNA from 1 species
AUGGAAAACAAAAACAAAACAAAACAAAACAAAAAAAAACCACUUUAUAUUAAUUCUUGUCUUAUUACUAGAUGUCAGAAGGGAUCAUUAAGACAAGAGUGCUAUGUGAUGCUCAAGGACACACUGCUGAGAGCGACUUUAAGGCUCUCACGAACCAGUGCAGAUUCUCUCCAUGAAGAGUGCUUCAUCCUCACCAAGUGUGAAGAGAGAAGAGCUGCAAGUCAGCACUUUCCAGUGCAUUUGCGUUUGCAUCAAGACGCCUGUAUUGCACAUCUGACUAAUUUACAGACUGAAGAAGGCAACUCUACUCCAGCUCUUUUGACAUCGCCUUUCCUCCUGUAUAAUGGAUAUAGGACGCUGGCCUUCCUCUUUAAACAACUUGACUUUUAUGCCAGUACUAAAAGCACACAUCAACCUAAAAAGCAUUUUAAUUAUUUUGCUCCCCCAACCUACAUCUUUCAAUAGUUCCCUUCUCCUCUGCUGACCUCCUGAUUAUGGUGUCCUCUCUUAAUAUCUGCAACCCUCCCUUGGCUUUCUCAACCCCUUCUUAAAGUUAACCUCCCCCCCCCCCCCCCCAGUAUUACUUUUGUAUCCCAGCUCUCUGCCUUUACACUACAGGGGCCUGGCCCACAGCUCACCUUCUCUCCAUAGCUCCUGACCCCCCCAGCCCCACAGGUGCAUCCUGGCCCUACGCCCUCCUGCCCUCCUGCCUGGUUGGGGCCACAGUGACUGCUACCCCUCCAGUAACAUGGGCUCAACCCAAAAGCACAGCUCUCACCUAACAGCAAUGAAUUAAAUCACAGAAUCACAGAAUGGCUGAGGUUGGAAGGGACCUCUGAAGAUCACCUAGCCCAACUCCCCAGACAAGAAGGAUCACUUACAGCACAUUGUGCAAGAUGGCAAAUGAACUUUAGCUUUCAUUGUUCACUGCUAUAAUGAUUUUUUUUUCUAUUUUCUAAAAUAUAUUCUGGCCAUCGUUUUUGUAUUAUUUUGUACAUCCAUGAGCAGCCCCCAUAGCUCUCCCCAGACAUUUUUUCUUCAAGAAAUGGCCCCAGCCAUUUUUUCUUCAAAAAAUGGCUCUCCCCAGCCAUUUUUUCCCCUUUCUGUAGAAGGCCAGAGCCUGAGGCAGGUAGGCCCCUGAGAGCUGUGUGUACUCUUGAUCCCCUUCUGAAAUCUCCUGUUAAAUAAAAGGAGUUAAUUCUUUAAAUGUUCUCUUGCC